rnacentral:rRNA from 1 species
ACUCCUACGGGAGGCAGCAGUGGGGAAUAUUGCACAAUGGGGGAAACCCUGAUGCAGCCAUGCCGCGUGUGUGAAGAAGGCCUUGGGUUGUAAAGCACUUUCAGUAGGGAGGAAGGUAGUGUAGUUAACACCUGCAUUAUUUGACGUUACCUACAGAAGAAGCACCGGCUAACUCCGUGCCAGCAGCCGCGGUAAUACGGAGGGUGCGAGCGUUAAUCGGAAUUACUGGGCGUAAAGCGCAUGCAGGCGGCCUGUUAAGUCAGAUGUGAAAGCCCGGGGCUUAACCUCGGAAUUGCAUUUGAAACUGGCAGGCUAGAGUCUUGUAGAGGGGUUAGAAUUUCAGGUGUAGCGGUGAAAUGCGUAGAGAUCUGAAGGAAUACCAGUGGCGAAGGCGGCCCCUGGACAAAGACUGACGCUCAGAUGCGAAAGCGUGGGAGCAAACAGGAUUAGAUACCCCU